rnacentral:rRNA from 1 species
UACAUGGGGUGCAAACGUUGCUCGGAAUCACUGGGCGUAAAGCGCACGUAGGCGGGUUGUUAAGUCGGGGGUGAAAUCCUGGAGCUCAACUCCAGAACUGCCUUCGAUACUGGCGAUCUUGAGUCCGGGAGAGGUGAGUGGAACUCCGAGUGUAGAGGUGAAAUUCGUAGAUAUUCGGAAGAACACCAGUGGCGAAGGCGGCUCACUGGCCCGGUACUGACGCUGAGGUGCGAAAGCGUGGGGAGCAAACAGG